rnacentral:lncRNA from 1 species
AGUGGCAGCAGCAGCCAUGGGGAAGCCGGGCGUGGAGGCAGCACCGGGCUCGGAGCUGGCCAGGGUUCCCUAGCCUAUGGAGCACGCAGCCACCACAGGCCCCAGGCCUGGACCUCCCUCUCGGCGGGUGGAGAAUGUUGUGCUACGAGCCAAGGACUGGCUGCCAGGAGCUCCUGGGGGCACCGCAGUGUGGGCCACCAGCUUGGAAGCAGAGGUCCCACCAGAUCUAGCGCUCAAUAAGGAGCAGCAGCUGCAGAUCUCCAAGGAGCUGGUCGACAUUCAGAUCACAACCCACCACCUACAUGAGCAGCAUGAGGCUGAAAUCUUCCAGCUGAAGAGUGAGGUGAGCAGCCGUGUGAACCAGCCUCAGUGCAUGGGGGACGGGGGGUGCAGGCCCAGGACACGUGCCCUGCAUGGGCAUGCACACGCACAUGGCAUCUGUGGGUCUCAGCCUGCCUCUGAGUGCUGCGCGCCCCUGAGCGUGCACCGGGUGAAUGUUCACCUACCCCAGGUGGCCCGCGGGCAGGUGCACCUGCUCAUGCCAGUUGUCCCACAGAUCCUUCGGCUGGAGAGCCGGGUACUGGAGCUGGAGCUGCGAGGAGAUGGCACCAGCCAGGGCUGUGCAGUCCCAGUGGAGUCUGACCCCAGGCAUCCCCGGGCAGCAGCCCAAGAGCUCAGACACAAAGCCCAGGUGCCUGGACACUCUGAUGACCACAGAUUCCAGGUUACCAUGAGCAUAUGGAGAGCCUGGCUGGGAAAGGCCAGAGGGAAGCCUCAGCAGGGGCCUCAGUGAAACUGGGGCUCACCCACCCCUUAGCUUUCCCUGCCCUCCCUUCCAUUCAGGUGCAGCCCAAGAACACCAUGAACCCCGAGAAUGAGCAGCACAGGCUGGGGAGCGGCGUGAGUGUGCAGCCACCUAGCUCAGGGGAGAGGGCAGCACCAGAGACCCCAAGCCUAGGGUCUCAUCCAGCCAGCCCUGUGUGCCCCACAGCUGCAGGGGGAAGUGAAGUGGGCGCUGGAGCAUCAGGAGGCCCGGCAGCAGGCACUGGUGACGCGUGUGUGAGUGGCCAUCUCACCUGGGGCCCCAUCCUGGAGCAGAGAGAACCCCUGAUCGUGGGCCUGCUGAGCCUCACCCCCGUGUCUUCAGGGCAACCCUGGGCCGGCAGCUGCAGGGAGCCCGAGAGGAGGCCAGGGCAGCCGGGCAGCGACUGGCCACACAGGCUGUGGUGAGGCUCUGCCCUGACUGCUUGGAGACCUGGAGGGUGGGGGCCCCAGAAGCUCAGCCGGGGUCCACUCUCAGGGCACAGGUGGAGGGCUGCUUCCACCCCAGGUGCUGUGCAGCUGCCAAGGCCAGCUCCGUCAGGCAGAGGCUGAAAAUGCCCGGCUGCAGCUGCAGCUCAAGAAACUGAAGGAUGAGUACGUCCUACGGCUGCAACACUGCGCCUGGCAGGCAGUGGUGAGCCCUGCAGGAGCACCCUGAGGCCUAGGGAGCCCAAGCCUGGCCUGGGUGUGCUGGAUAGCUUCAGGGAGACCCCAGGGCCCCGGCACUGCUCAGCCUGCUGGGGUGGGGGGAUGGUUGGAAAAGAUGGGGGGUGGGCCCCAUGCGGACCCAGCCCGCCGCCUCCAGGAGCACGCAGAUGGUGCAGGCCAAGCGCCAGCCACCACGGCCCUCCGGACAUUCCUGGAGGCGACUCUGGAGGACAUCCGGGCAGCGCACCGCAGCCGUGAGCAGCAGCUGGCCCGGGCUGCCCGCAGCUACCACAAGAGGCUGGUGGAUCUGAGCCGCAGGCAUGAAGAGCUACUGGUUGCCUACAGGUGGGCCCCGCUGGGAUGGGAGGUGUCAGGCAUCUGUGGGUCUCUAAGCCUCUGUGCCUCAAAGGCUUGGUGUGCAGCAGGAGUGGCCCCAGACAGACACUAGCCUACCCUGACAGGGCACCUGGGAACCCCCAAGCUAUUUUUGACAUAGCCAGCUUGGACCUGGAACCAUUGCCCGUGCCCCUGGUCACUGACUUCAGCCAUCGGGAGGACCAGCACGGCGGGCCUGGGGCACUGCUCUCAUCCCCAAAAAAGAGACCCGGUGGAGCCUCCCAGGGGGGAACAUCAGAGCCACAGUGAGUGCCCUCAUGGGUGUGGGGGAGGCCUGUGGGGGAUGAGCAGAGAGCACAACGCCUGCACCCUGGGGCCCCCAGUUGCUCCACCAAGCCCCCGCCAGACAGGGUCUGGUCACAGCAAUGCACUCAGUGGCACAUCCCCACCCUGGGGUCCCUCCGUGGGUCCCGGCGACACUGAUAAUCACAGGAAAGAGAAGAGGGGCUGCUGCAGGUGGAGCUGGCCUUGAACACGGAGGAUCAGGGAGAGCACACCUGAGGGAGGUUUCCGCUGAGACCUGGAGGACGCGAGGGGUGGGAGCAGGGCGCCUGGUGACCGGGCCAGCCCUUGCCUCUGGGCCUCCAUGUUCCCAGCUGUACAAUGGGCAGGGCUCCCCAAGGACCAUUUCCUGGGGUUUAGGGCACACCCGUGUGGGGGUGGCAUCCCUGUUGAUGCUGGAGUCACUGUCUGGGCUGGCCUUGUGGUUUAGCCCUCCCCCAGCAGCCAGCAGACCCCCUGGGCCCGGGCUGUCCCUAUACACGGAUGGCUCCAAGGCCUGGGGGGGGCGCCACAGGAGCACGGGGGGGGCCCAUGCCUCCCUCACUCACUCCCAGGUGUCCCCUCCCGGCUCUGGGAACCUGACUCAGCACGGUCACGUCUGUCCCUGUGUCACCAUGCCAGCUCUCAAAACCACUCCUCCUUUCCUCUCCCCUCACAGGGGCCUGGACGCUGCAUCCUGGGCCCAGAUCCACCAGAAGCUCCGGGACUUCUCCCGCAGCACCCAGGUAGGAGGCAAGGGCUGGCCCAGGCCCAUCCUCACGCCAUGCCCCAGCUCAUGGCUUACAUCCCCAUGCCAGGCAGAGCUGGAACGGGAGCGGGCACAGCUGCUGGUCCGGGCCACGAUGGCUGAAGAGCAACUUUCUGAGCUACAGGAGUACGUGGACCAGCACCUGGGCAGGUACAAGCACGAAAUCCUGAGGCUGAGGAAGCUGGCAGGUGCAGGGGACCCCUGGAAAGUGGGGGCUGUGCCUCCAGCCAAGCCCCAGCAUCCAAGGACCGGCAGCCACUAGGCCGUCUCCCAAGGAGCAGAGCAGAGCAGAGCUCCUCAGCCAGCACAGAACCCUCCCACCCAGCCCCCCAUAAAACAUGAGUCAGGAUAG